GAGGCGCCAUGGCGGCGCCGCAGAGCGCUGCGGGCCCGGGGCCGCGCCGCCGUGCGCCUCUGCCCUUAAUUGGACAGGGGACGGCCCGGGCCCGGGGGGGGGAAGCGGGGUGCGAGGGGGCUGCGAGCGUUGGAACGGGGCGGGGUGCCGGCUCGGCGCUGCCGGGGGCCCUCGGGGGCUGCGGGCGAAGCUCCGCGUCCCCGCGGUCACAGCCCUGGCGGCGCGUGCCCCGCGCUGAAGGCCCCGGGCGCUCCGCGUGCCCUUCGCUCCGAUUUCUGCCCGUUUCCUCUCUCUGUAGACGUACGGCGAUGUAGGAUGAGCGUACGGACCUCUGCGGUGCCGCGCCCGCGCGGCGCAGCCCUGAAGGAGACAACUUCCCGGCACCGUCCGACCCGGCAGCGUUGCGGCAUCCCGCGGCUGCCGGCCCUCCUCCUGCAGUCCGCGCUGGAAAACGGCCCCGCCGGCUUCAGCGUCGUGGGGCAGAAGCGGAGGAGCCGCGGCGUGCGGCUCUCGGCAUCGAUCGGCCUUAAAAGCUUAGAUCGAUGUUCAGGAUAACGCGUGGCUGGAAAUUAAGCUGCUGUAGGGAGAUACCGCUCUGCUGCAGAAGGGUUUUGGCUGUGAGUGGUUCGGCUGUGGUCACGCACUCAGCACAAAGGACCUGUAACAACGCCUUUUUCUUUUCCCGAGAUCAAAAAAGGUUAUGUGAGCGGCGGCGUUUCUUAGAUGCUGUGUUUCUUAGAUGCUGUGUGCGUAGCAGCAGCCCGGCUUCAGGGCAAGGUGGUGGAAAAACGGUGCUGUGUCUGUAUGGUGCUGGAAGGGAGCAGCCAGCAGGAGGAAAAUCUUCACUGACGAUUCAGUUUGUGGAAGGACAGUUUGUUGAUUCCUAUGAUCCAACCAUAGAGAACAAAAACAAGCAGCAUUAUUAUUUUGCUGGAAGCUUUGUGAUCUGUGGCAUGGCUGGAGGAAGUUACUUUCUGAAAGCUUUUACAAAACUGAUCACAGUAAAUGGCCAAGAAUAUCACCUUCAGCUGGUUGACACUGCUGGCCAGGAUGAAUACUCCAUAUUUCCUCAGACAUACUCCAUAGACAUCAAUGGCUACAUUCUUGUUUAUUCAGUCACGUCAAUAAAAAGUUUUGAAGUGAUAAAAGUUAUCCAUGGCAAGUUAUUGGAUAUGGUGGGAAAAGUCCAAAUACCCAUUAUGCUGGUUGGAAAUAAAAAAGACCUGCAUAUGGAACGGGUGAUCAGCUAUGAAGAAGGGAAAGCUUUAGCAGAAUCCUGGAAUGCAGCUUUCUUGGAAUCUUCUGCUAAAGAAAAUCAGGUAACAAAUUUAAGAUUCACUUAUUUGAAUAGCAGUGUUAUGGAAUGUCUCAUAGUUUCACUUGAUAAAGGAAGCUAAAUAUCUGCACGUCCUGUACAGAUAGAUUGUGUAGAUGGUUGGAAAUAAAAUGGGUGUCUGCGUUCAGGUUUAGAUAUAUAUAUGCUUGUUGAUGCAACUGUAAGUUAAAGGGUGAAAUGGAGAACUGAAAGUUAAGCUUUGCUGAACAAAACAUAACGGUGGCAAACUCAAACUUGCAGCCCUGCUGUGUGUGGGACAGGGUCUGUGAUCUGCUGUGGUGGCCUUGAAUAGGGAGCUCCUUGUUGCUUCAGGGGGGUGAGUUGGUGUAAGGGAAUGAACAUCAUGGUUUAAGGUGCUGGAUAGGACUUGGUCUGUCUAGUGGGGGGAAUAGUAGUUCUGUGGGCACAGAGUGAAUGAGAAGAAUGUUAGAGGCAGGCAGACACCGUUGUGUUACAGUCGUAGUGAAGUUGCUGUAAAUUCCUUCAGAACACCUUCUGAAUAUAUUCUGGAGUUUGAAUUUGUUCCUGUGGCUUAUCAUAACACUUUGUCACUGCCCUACACUUGAGUGCUUAAGCUACAAGAGCCUACAGAUUUGAGCUUGAAGUUAGUAAAAUUAACUAUAGGUGGAGGGUGCCAGCCUUUCCAACUUAUUUUGUGUUGCUGUUUUUUCUGUUGGUGUUGCCAAUGUCAGUACUGUUGCUUCUUGCAAACGUGAAUAUAUGGUGGGGUCACAGGGGCACUGUCAGGCUGUGUUUAGAGGAAUUGGUCCUUCUGCACAAGUGCACACUGUCUCAUAUUUAACCUAAUACAAUCACAUCCUUCGAUGUUCUCAGCAGCAGAAUCAGAAGGGCAGCCCCAUAGCUGGGGCAGCACCUGCAUGAGCAGCCUUUCUGUCCCCUGCUUUCAGCUGCAAAACAAACAGCUGCUGGCUGAUAACUUGUGGCUCUACUGGAAGCAGACACUUGUGUAAAGUUGGAUUUUCCCUGGCAGGAAAUUUGCAGGUUUUUUUUCUCCACGUAUGGAAUACUUGGAAUUAGUUUCUAAGUACUUCUAUUUCUGGCUAAGAGUUGCACUAACCAUGUCAGAAUUGGCUGUGCUGAAAGCAUGCAGUUCCUUAAUAUCUUCUCUACUUCUGGAGAGCCUCAGAUACAUACCUUUAGAAACUCAAUUGCCAGCCUAGGGAAUAAACCAGUUAAAAGAAUGAGAUCAUUUAUGUAUUUUCAAACAACUCAGUACUUCUGGAAUAGGCAGAGCUAUUGUUUGUUCUUUUUUUGGACGUAGUUCACAAUGUGUAACAGUGUAGUAAUUCAUAUCUUACAGAGUAUCUUACUAAUAACUCUUUUGAAGUUCGUAUUGUGUAUUGUCUUGGAUCAAAAAAAAAGAAAAAGAAAAAACUGUGUAUAUUUAUGCAAAGAAACUACGAGCUUUAUAUGAUGUUUGACAUGCCUUGCAUAUUAAAUUGCUGUGCUAACAAAGUCCCAUUGACUGCCUGUAUUUGUGCCUGUCCCUUGGUCUCAGAGUAUCUGCAUUAAGUUAGCUAUUAGCUGAAAUUCAUAUGGGGAAGCGGUGCUGGCAUGGAACUCCUUGCUGUGGAAAUUACAGUGCAGCAGUAAGGUCAUGCCUUGUGUGUAAUACACCUGGAAACUGGCUGACCUGAGAUGUUCAGGAGGUGAUGCGUUGCUUUGCAGGCCCACAACACAUGACUGUCUUUUAGGCAUCUGAUGGGCUCCCUCUGGAUGCUUGGUGCAUAUGCAAGAAAGCAUAAUGGAGCCUGGAGUGAGGCAGCUCUCCUUCUGUUGCUGCAGACAGUUGCUGAGGAAUGGUUGUUGCUGAAGGAGGUGGAUGGUUGAGCUUGGAAAGCAAAGUAUAAGGCCUGGAGCUGUGAGGUUCUAGGGGAAAAAGAAGUCUUGUUUCUGAAAUCUAUACAUUUUUGGUGGAUGUGGAGCAGGAGAAUGGCAGUCUCUGAUGUGCUGGUCUGAAAUUGGUUUGGUACAUGGGACAGCCUACGGAGAGACUGUAGGCUGAUUCCAGUUUGACCUACAUGGUCUGUCCUUUAUAGCAGCUCUUAGCAAGAAACUCUGAAAGGAGAGGAGGCAUUCCCUGUUACAAGUUCUAGCAGAGGCUUCUCUCUCUCUAUGAAAGGAGGUGGGAAAGCAUUGACUCAUCUCCCUUCCUGCUUUGCCCAAAAAAACCCAAAAACUAUUUGGAGCAUCUGUGGGAGUCCUAGGAACAAAUCCCUGCUGCAGCAGGCAACUGAAGUGGUUGCGCAGAUGAACUUAAUCCUACCAGGCCUGUUCUGCUGGGAGUUGUCAGAAGAUACCACACUGAUGAAACGGCAUGGCAUAGUCUCUCCCACUUCCCAUCUAUUCAGAGAUCUGAGCUGACAGGAGGGUAAGUGGUAGGGGAUGGCAAGAGUUGCUCAGGUCUGAUCUGCUUAGGCUCUGUCCCCUCCUUUAGACUCUGGUGGCCUGCUAAGGCUUUGGAGCUUGUGUAUCGUGUUGGGCACCUGGGGAGAUCACUACGUUUUGAGAGGGCGAUUCUGGGGCUGGAUGCCCAGGAAAAGAUGACUGUUAAACUAAGUCUUGGUUGGAGAUCAUCCACCAGAUUGGGUGAAUGCUUCCUACAGGAAGAAUUUGGGGUAUUUGGGGUCUUUCUUUGGUUCAUUCUAAAAGUCAGCUUCAAGCUGGAAGCAUUCAAGGGCAUCAUGCAUCUUGUAAGCAAAAUAUGAGACACGUAAAAUCACAUCUUGUUGAGCUACGACCUGAAGCUGAGUUCAGGUAUUAAAUCCCUUCUCUGGGCCCUAGAUGUACUUGUUGUGUUUUUUCAAGCUGCUUAAUUAUUUCUGGCUGUGUUGAAGUGCAGUGUAUCUACUGGACUAACUUCAGGAGCUUCAUUCAGGCUUUUCCUGGGGAGUUCAUUACUUCGUUCCCCCUAAGCCAUAGUACAGUGCUUUGUCUUUAAUCCCAGCACAGUAAAUUGCUAAUGGUGCGAAAUACAACCAGAACCCAGAUUGGUCCCUAAGCCUGCUUGAAGCCAAAAGCCAGAGAGUAAUGAGCAUUCGUGUGUCCAUCCACUUACACAGAAUUCAUUAGAAGGGCUUAUUUUAGAAGGGGGAAGGAAGUAGUUAGAAAAAAAAAACAAAAACAAAUCCACUUCUCACCAAAACACCUCUCUUAAAAAUGAGUUCUGAGAUGUUGUUGCUUUUUCAAGAGUAGUUUGAUAUCCAAGGCUGGAAGGUGCAGUGUGUGAGGAUGCUCAGAGGGGCUUGGGAUCUUGCUUCUCCCCCCAACCCCCCCCCCUUAGGGGUUUGGGAGUGCUUCCAUGGGAGAGCAUUUGGUGGGAGGGGAAAUGGCCUUCCUUACCUGACCAUUGUUCAGAGUUCCUUUGCCCAGUUCUGUGCCAAGAACAACCAGUAGCGCGAGAAUUUCCUCUCCAAAAUCACCCAGCAGUUGUUUGGAAAACAGCACAGCAGCACUGAGCUGACAGCAGCAGCUGUGGGCUGGGUUCAGGGGCUUCACACCUUCCCAUUUGUGCACCUCCUGGGCUCUGUUUGGCACCCACGGGUGUGUGUGCAGGAGCACUGAGCCUCCUGGCGCCUCACGCACAGCAGCACCCAUUGCCCUGCCUGGCAUCUCUUUCACUUCCUCAAGGGAAGGAGGUAGAAGAGAGGCAGAUGGCUUUCUGUAGGCUAGAUGUGACCCACAUCCUGUAACUGCACCAUAUGCAGACAGAUGCAUGGAAAGUCUGGCUGCGUUCUUUAUUUCUUGUUGCAAAACAGUUUCCUGCGUUGCUUAAAAGCUCAUUCUAAAAUCCUUGAGCAUAUUUGGGCUGAAUUACAAGUUCCUACGGGUUAACUGCAGGGCACUGAUUAAAGCUUCUCAGUGAAUAUAUGUUCUCUGCGAAAUGAAUUAGCGGCCCUGUGAACUCCUACAUCUCAGCGUUCCCAGCAGCGUGGCUUUGACAGAGAAUAUAUAGCUGCUUGCUUGUCGGAAUAAAGCGUGGGCUUUUGUAGUAGGUGCUUUCAAGCAGGAAUAUGAAGAAUCGGUGCGUUAAAAUGUCAGCUGUAAGCAAUGAAAUAUCAGUACGGUGUAUUUGUAAAGCAGGAUAUCACCUACUUUUGACCAAGGGAAAUUCUUCAUUAGUAGAACCAGUUUGACAGCAGCUGCAGUACUGCCCGUGCUCUUCCUUCAGUCUCGUUUGCCCAGGGGAUGCACUGUGUUAUACAGGGCUGGUGAGCCACGGCGGUCAGAUCCUGCUUGGAUUGUGGAGGGCCGUUGUCAGCUGGUGACUCCCAGCCCAGCAGCAUCUGCUGCCAUCCCUUUGGAGGGGAUGCAUUUUGUGUUGGUGUAGUGGGUGAAAGUGCAGAGGAGCGCUGCUUUCAGGCUGCUGCUCACCGUGUGCUCUCUCUUUGCAGACCGCCGUUGAUGUUUUUAAGAGGAUAAUUUUGGAGGCAGAAAAAAUCGAUGGGGCAGCUUCACAAGGGAAGUCUUCAUGCUCAGUAAUGUAAUUCCACUGCAAAGGCU